UGGCGAACGGGUGAGUAACACGUGAGUAACCUCGCCCUUAACUCUGGGAUAAGCCUGGGAAACUGGGUCUAAUACCGGAUAUGACUCCUCAUCGCAUGGUGGGGGGUGGAAAGCUUUAUUGUGGUUUUGGAUGGACUCGCGGCCUAUCAGCUUGUUGGUGAGGUAAUGGCUUACCAAGGCGACGACGGGUAGCCGGCCUGAGAGGGUGACCGGCCACACUGGGACUGAGACACGGCCCAGACUCCUACGGGAGGCAGCAGUGGGGAAUAUUGCACAAUGGGCGCAAGCCUGAUGCAGCGACGCCGCGUGAGGGAUGACGGCCUUCGGGUUGUAAACCUCUUUCAGUAGGGAAGAAGCGAAAGUGACGGUACCUGCAGAAGAAGCGCCGGCUAACUACGUGCCAGCAGCCGCGGUAAUACGUAGGGCGCAAGCGUUAUCCGGAAUUAUUGGGCGUAAAGAGCUCGUAGGCGGUUUGUCGCGUCUGCCGUGAAAGUCCGGGGCUCAACUCCGGAUCUGCGGUGGGUACGGGCAGACUAGAGUGAUGUAGGGGAGACUGGAAUUCCUGGUGUAGCGGUGAAAUGCGCAGAUAUCAGGAGGAACACCGAUGGCGAAGGCAGGUCUCUGGGCAUUAACUGACGCUGAGGAGCGAAAGCAUGGGGAGCGAACAGGAUUAGAUACCCUGGUAGUCCAUGCCGUAAACGUU
rnacentral:rRNA from 1 species